GGGUCCGUGGCGUAGUUGGCUACACGUUCGCUUGAUAAGCGGAUGGUCAUGGGUUAGAUUCCCAGCCCCCCCA
rfam:Aedes albopictus isolate Foshan contig86816, whole genome shotgun sequence.